UACGUAGGCAGCAAGCGUUGUUCGGAGUUACUGGGCGUAAAGGGUGCGUAGGCGGCUUCUUAAGUCUGGUGUGAAAUCUCCCGGCUCAACUGGGAGGGUGCGCCGGAUACUGAGGGGCUAGAGUGUGGGAGAGGAAAGUGGAAUUCCUGGUGUAGCGGUGAAAUGCGUAGAUAUCGGGAGGAACACCUGUGGCGAAAGCGGCGCACUGGACCACAACUGACGCUGAGGCGCGAAAGCUAGGGGAGCAAACAGG
rnacentral:rRNA from 1 species